rnacentral:misc_RNA from 1 species
GAUGAAGAACGUAGCGAAAUGCGAUAAGUAAUGUGAAUUGCAGAAUUCAGUGAAUCAUCGAAUCUUUGAACGCACAUUGCGCCCGCCAGUAUUCUGGCGGGCAUGCCUGUCUGAGCGUCAUUUCAACCCUCAUGCCCCUAGUGCGUGGUGUUGGGGAUCGGCCAAAGCCCGCGAGGGACGGCCGGCCCCUAAAUCUAGUGGCGGACCCGUCGUGGCCUCCUCUGCGAAGUAGUGAUAUUCCGCAUCGGAGAGCGAUGAGCCCCUGCCGUUAAACCCCCAACUUUCCAAGGUUGACCUCAGAUCAGGUAGGAAUACCCGCUGAACUUAAGCAUAUCAAUAAGCGGAGGA